GAAUGAUUUAGUGAGGUCUUCGGACUGGCGGUAAGCCCAACCGACUUUGUCGGUUUUGUCGAACGCUGGAAAGAUGACCAAACUUGAUCAUUUAGAGGAAGUAAAAGUCGUAACAAGGUUUCCGUAGGUGAACCUGCGGA
rnacentral:rRNA from 1 species